UUAAAAGUGAUUCUUAGGGCACAAAAUAUUUACACUCACACUCACUCUUUUCAGAGAUGAAGCUCAAAAACUCCAAUCCUCCAUCUCUAAAACCCAUCUCGAAGCUGGUAACACUCGAAGCUUGCAAGCAAGUUUCCAUCUCGUAGCUCUGAAGCAAGUCCCCAUCAAGAAAGAGAUGAAGCUCAGAAACUCCAAUCCUCCAUCUCUAAAACUCCAUCUCGAAGCUGGUAACACUCGAAGCUUGCAAGCGAGUUUCCAUCUCGAAGAUUUGAAGCAAGUCUCCAUCAAGAAAGGAAUUGGUUAAGCGUCAAAGCUGGAAGCUCAAAAUGCAACAUAAUUUACUGAUGUCCUUCAUCGUUAAGUGUCUACAGACGGUAUUUACAGCAGCUUCAGUUUACUACCUACUGUAAAUGAAAAUUUUAUACUCAAUCUAUAGGUGUACAUAUAGGAUUUUUGUCAAGAGUCGUGGUGACAUGCUGAGAAUUAUUUUGUGUUGCUUAUGUUGGAAUGUUUAUGAACUCAAUCUAUAUGAACAACAAAUAUUUAUUAUGUGUUGCUUCUUUUAGAAUUAACUGAUCUUUCUUUA